AGAGAAGCCUCAUACAGGACAUAAUGUGAACAGGCUAUAUUCCAUUCCAGUAAAUGGUCUACAUUCCAUUUCUGUAUUGGGACUGGCAUUCUAGAGAAUACACAACAAUUCCACAAUGGAAGAAAAGGCAAUUGGUACAGUAGCUCAUAACUCUAUAUCUGAAUACUGUCCCAUCAAGGAAGCAAACAAGCUAGAUUCAAGUGACAGCUGUGAAAUAUAUGAAAGAAACAAAGAAACUAUGCAGCUGAAGAAAGAAAUAUCUUUGCUUAAUGGAAUCAGUCUCAUUGUAGGCAACAUGAUUGGUUCGGGUAUCUUUGUCUCUCCCAAAGGAGUUCUCAUCUACAGUGCCUCCUUUGGAUUGUCUCUAAUAAUCUGGGCAACAGGAGGGAUUUUUUCAGUGUUUGGAGCUCUCUGCUAUGCUGAACUGGGAACCACAAUUACUAAGUCAGGAGCCAGCUAUGCAUAUAUCUUGGAGGCCUUUGGGAGCUUUAUUGCUUUUAUUCGCUUAUGGACCUCACUGUUGAUUGUUGAGCCAACUAGUCAAGCAAUUAUUGCAAUAACUUUUGCUAACUACAUUGUGCAGCCUAUCUUCCCUUCUUGUGAUCCACCCUAUGUUGCCUGUCGUCUCAUCGCAGCUGCUUGUAUAUGUCUUCUAACGUUUAUAAAUUGUGCCUAUGUUAAAUGGGGAACAAGGGUGCAGGAUGUAUUCACGUAUGCUAAAGUCAUUGCCCUUAUUGUCAUCAUCAUAACAGGAAUUGUUAAACUAUGCCAGGGACAUUCAGGACACUUUAAGAACUCCUUUGAGGGAUCUUCUUGGGACCUAGGCGAUAUUUCUCUUGCACUGUACUCUGCCCUGUUCUCUUACUCAGGUUGGGACACACUUAAUUUUGUAACAGAAGAAAUCCAAAACCCAGAAAGGAAUCUGCCACUGGCUAUUGCAGUUUCUAUGCCCAUUGUGACGAUUAUCUAUAUUUUGACCAACAUAGCUUACUACACAGUACUGGAUAUUAAUGCUGUUCUUUCUAGCGAUGCUGUAGCAGUGACAUUUGCUGACCAGGUGUUUGGCAUUUUCAGUUGGACAGUUCCCGUUGCUGUAGCUGUUUCAUGUUUUGGUGGACUCAAUGCAUCAAUUUUAGCAUCAUCUAGGCUUUUUUUUGUAGGAUCCCGGGAAGGUCAUCUCCCUGACCUGUUAUCCACGAUACAUAUAGUGAGGUUCACACCUGUGCCAGCACUACUCUUCAAUUGUACUAUGACCCUCAUUUAUCUGACUGUAGAAGAUGUCUUCCAGCUUAUCAAUUACUUCAGUUUCAGUUACUGGUUUUUUGUGGGACUGUCAGUAGCUGGGCAAUUAUACCUUCGAUGGAAGGAACCAGAUCGACCCAGACCUCUCAAGGUACAAAUGAAUGAAUUAUCUGAGUCUCUUUUUCCCAAUUGCUUUCUGUAUAUGCUCAGUAUUUCUGGUAGUGGUGCCUUUGUAUAGUGAUACCAUUAAUUCUUUGAUCGGAAUUGGCAUUGCUGUGUCUGGAAUUCCAGUCUACUUCAUUGGAAUCUACUUGCCCAUAUCCAGAAGGCCACCAUUUAUCAACAAGAUGUUAGGUGCUAUAACUCGAUCCACUCAGUUGCUUAGUUACAGUGUUUUAACAGAGAUGGACAGUGACGAUAAGAAAUUAGAGACCAAAUCUAACUAAAGAUGCAAAACAAUUCCAAAACCAGCAGCGAACCAAGAAGCAGUGACUGACAAGAACAGAAGAGGAUCAACAGGGAACAUGUGACAACUAAAGAACCAUUGGAGCCAGGAAUGGACAAACUAGCUAUUACUGAGGAGGGACGCUUGGGUGCAUCAUACUCUGCCAUGAUCUGUAGUUGCUAUACUGGCAAUGAGUAAAUGUUAAUAACUUCAGUGUCUGGACUGUUCACUGUAGUUUGAGAGCAAUGGAAAAAUCUCUCCAAAAUGGAAGUUAAGGUGUAAGAGGGAGAAUAGAUUCUAGAAUAGUAGAGCCGAGUGAGCAAAUUAAAUAUACUUUGGAGAACCAGAUAGUGGAACUAUGAAUCAUUCUGAAUUGAACUUGAAAUUACUCCAAAUCAGAAGUGACCAAAGGUAAUACUCAGUAGCUAUGGACUGAAUUGAUAUAUAAAGACUAUAAUUUCAGUGAAAAGUUAUUUGGUCCACACAGAGAGAAGGUCAGUCUCCAAGGUUUGCUUUUGUACCGUUAGCAAGCUCCAAAUUGCCUUUUUACAGAAAAAAGCUUAGACUUGAUUAAAAUGUUACUUGGAAGUAUGAAUGUAACUUUUUAAUGUAAACCUGUUGAGCUGUGAUUGAUUUGUUUCUAAAUGGUUCAAAUAGAACCCCAAAAAGUUGAGGCAAAAACUUAAAAGCUUCUAUAUGCAAUUGUUUUAUAAAUAAGUUUACAAGUACUGUUACAGCAAAGAGAUCAGAAUUUUCAGUGUUUGAUUUUUCAAUCCUGUUUAUUGGAAGUAGUACUUUUACAUAUAUGAACUAGAAUAUAAUAUCCUGGCUGUCAUAUAGUCUAUUUUGAACAUAGCAUUCAACUGAGAGAAACGUAAGGAAAGGGGAAAUAAAUACAUUCUUGCUCUGAUGUUUUGUUAGUUCACCUCAGUUGUUGGCAACAAAUGCUAAAAAUAAUUGUACAAUUUGAGGUAAAGAUCAAAUCACCUUCAAGGUACUGGGGAUUCUUCUAGUCAUAUCAUCAUGCUACAUCAGCUCCUACUCACUUUGCAUACCAAUGUUAGACACUAUUGUAAAUAUAACACCCUAAGUUGAUAGCUGAAACACUUGGGUAUCCUUUGUUUUUAGGGAAUCCAAACAGGACAGCAAACUAUAGUCCUGUGGUGCAAUGUUGACUAUGUCUGCAUAUUAGCCUGAGCUUGAGAAAUUCAAAAGCUAUAAAACCAAUUUUGUUGCAACUAUUGGUAAAUUAAGAUGAAAUACAGUUACAAAAAUCAGGCUUGUAGUGCACCUUUCGUGGCACACAGUGUCUUGUAAUCUUUAAUUUUAUCAAACCCAAAGUGCACUGUAUAGAAAGGCUCUUUCUUUUGGAGUUAAACAGCUUCAACUGUAUUGCAAAACAUCGUGGUAUUGAUUUCUCCCACACUUAUUAUAAGUGUGCUGUAACUUUUACCUAGUCUCAUUGGUUAUUUCAUUUUUAUGUAAACUUGCAGACUUCUGCCAGGUUUAGAAAGCUGUAUAUUUAGCUUAUCAUCUUAUUCCUAGUAAAUUGAAGAAAAGUCAAAUCCAGGAUUUUAUUUAAAUGUCAAACCUUUUCAUUGUUUCAUCAGACCAUUUAAUAAAAUGUCAUUUAACACUUAAA